rnacentral:rRNA from 1 species
GAUGAACGCUGGCGGCGUGCUUAACACAUGCAAGUCGAACGGAAAGGCUCCUGCUUGCAGGGGUACUCGAGUGGCGAACGGGUGAGUAACACGUGGGUGAUCUGCCCUGCACUUCGGGAUAAGCCUUGGAAACUGGGUCUAAUACCGGAUAGGACGAUGGUUUGGAUGCCAUUGUGGAAAGUUUUUCGGUGUGGGCUGAGCUCGCGGCCUAUCAGCUUGUUGGUGGGGUAAUGGCCUACCAAGGCGUCGACAGGUAGCCGGCCUGAGAGGGUGUACGGCCACAUUGGGACUGAGAUACGGCCCAGACUCCUACGGGAGGCAGCAGUGGGGAAUAUUGCACAAUGGGCGCAAGCCUGAUGCAGCGACGCCGCGUGGGGGAUGACGGCCUUCGGGUGGUAAACUACUUUCGCUAGGGACGAAGCGCAAGUGACGGUACCUGGAGAAGAAGCACCGGCUAACUACGUG